UACAGUGGCGGUCCCGCCGCAGCUUCCAUUGCGUAGUAGCUAACACCUCGCAACUGGAGAGCGGCGCGGCCACGCCGUAAAACACCCAACUUCUGAAUGUUGACCUCGAAUCAGGUAGGAAUACCCGCUGAACUUAAGCAUAUCAAUAAGCGGAGGAAAAGAAACCAACAGGGAUUGCCCCAGUAACGGCGAGUGAAGCGGCAACAGCUCAAAUUUGAAAUCUGGCUCUCGGGCCCGAGUUGUAAUUUGUAGAGGAUGCUUUUGGUGAGGUGCCUUCCGAGUUCCCUGGAACGGGACGCCAUAGAGGGUGAGAGCCCCGUCUGGUUGGACACCGAUCCUCUGUAAAGCUCYUUCGACGAGUCGAGUAGUUUGGGAAUGCUGCUCUAAAUGGGAGGUAUAUGUCUUC
rnacentral:rRNA from 1 species